rnacentral:lncRNA from 1 species
AGCUGAGAGAAGCAAGCCUGACUUCUUCUUUUCAGAGGCACUGUGUUUCUUACUUCCUUUCCAUUAAGAGUUUAAUUAAGAGUUUGAUUAGUUAUUUUGGUUAGUUUGUAUCUCAGCAAGACUAAGAUAUUAGUGAUGGGUAAAGCCUUAAAUCUGAGUAAUUGACUGCCACAAUUUUGGCCAUCAAUAAUAAGCAUAGGAACUGAAAAUUAACAUCCCAUCUUUGAUUAGGAAGAUGACCUGCCAUUCCUAACCACUGCACAAAUAAAAUUAAUCAUAGCACAAAAAAUGCAGUUGCUUAAAGAAAACAUACCAUUUCCUCCACAUGAAGAAAUAAGGUCUGGAAGCUCAUGAAGGUAUUGCUGAAACUGCUUUGAUGAUUGUAACUUCCACACGUUGCGAAGCAAGCAGGUCAGAGGCUGUGGCUUGAAAUAGAGAGGCCCGGCUGGGAAAAAAAGAACAACAAAAUUUUAUUAAGUUCAUCUUGCAAUGCCACCUAACCUUGUAAAGCUGGGGGACAGAAACCUGUAAGACCAACCCUUAGAAACAUUUCUGAAUUUAUAAAAGAAAACAGAAUCUGCUGGCCUCUAUGGAGUGAUAUCAUUUGUCUGAGAAGAAAAUAAUUCUUACCUGACCUGUGACAUGGAAAGUGCUUGCCUUGGAGCUCUAUGAUUUUCAUAGAAAAAAGAUGCCCUUCCUCCGUAUCUUGUGAUGUGCAAUGUUUCAUGUCAGGACAGCUCCCCUGUGAAGGUCAGCAAACAGCAUGAAUGGUUCUCAGCAAGUAGUUCAGAUUCAGCUGGUCAGUUGUGGGAAACUCAAGUUUACUUCCCAUCUGAUGGCAGUGACCUGCGGGACACAAGAUACAACUUUGAGCAAUAGAAGAUGGAAGACAGGAUUCAGGGGUGC